AUGACCUGUGGGUAGGGGUGAAAGGCCAAUCAAACUCGGAAAUAGCUCGUACUCCCCGAAAUGCAUUUAGGUGCAGCGUUGAUUAAAAGUUUUAUAGAGGUAGAGCUACUGAUUGGAUGCGGGGGCUUCACCGCCUACCAAUUCCUGACAAACUCCGAAUGCUAUAAAAUGUUUAUCAGCAGUGAGGGCAUGGGUGCUAAGGUCCAUGUCCGAGAGGGAAAGAACCCAGACCAUCAGCUAAGGUCCCCAAAUAUAUGUUAAGUUGAAAAAACGAGGUGAAACUGCUUAGACAGCUAGGAUGUUGGCUUGGAAGCAGCCAUUCAUUUAAAGAGUGCGUAACAGCUCACUAGUCGAGCGGUUUUGCAUGGAUAAUAAUCGGGCAUAAACAUAUUACCGAAGCUAUGGACUUUAAAAGUGGUAGGGGAGCAUUCUAUAUGUGUAGAAGGUGAACUGUGAGGUUUGCUGGAACGUAUAGAAAAGAAAAUGUAGGCAUAAGUAACGAUAAUGCGGGUGAGAAACCCGCACACCGAAAGACUAAGGUUUCCUCAGCGAUGCUAAUCAGCUGAGGGUUAGUCGGGACCUAAGGCGAAUCCGAAGGGAGUAGUCGAUGGACAACAGGUUAAUAUUCCUGUACUUCUUAUAAAUGCGAUGGGGUGACGGAGUAAUGAACCCGCCGCGAGCUGACGGAAUAGCUCGUUGAAACAUGUAGGUAUUAGGACUGUAGGCAAAUCCGCAGACCUAGCUGAAGUGUGAUAGUACCACAACUCUUCGGAAGCGUGGAUAGUGCGGUUAAGAACUUCCAAGAAAAACCUCUAAGCUUCAGUUUAUAAGAACCCGUACCGUAAACCGACACAGGUAGUUGGGAUGAGAAUUCUAAGGUGCUCGAGAGAUUCAUGGCUAAGGAACUAGGCAAAAUAGACCUGUAACUUCGGGAGAAAGGUCGCCUACUUCGGUAGGCCGCAGUGAAAAGAUCCAGGCGACUGUUUAUCAAAAACACAGGGCUUUGCUAAAUUGAAAGAUGAUGUAUAAGGCCUGACACCUGCCCGGUGCUGGAAGGUUAAGUGGAGGGUUUAGCUUCGGCGAAGAUCUCAAAUGAAGCCCCAGUAAACGGCGGCCGUAACUAUAACGGUCCUAAGGUAGCGAAAUUCCUUGUCGGGUAAGUUCCGACCU
rnacentral:rRNA from 1 species